rnacentral:rRNA from 1 species
AACAAACGCUGGCGGCGUGCCUAACACAUGCAAGUCGUACGAGAAAGGGUCCUUCGGGACGUGAGUAAAGUGGCGCACGGGUGAGUAACGCGUGGAUAAUCUGCCCUUCAGUUGGGAACAACUCAUCGAAAGGUGGGCUAAUACCGAAUAACACUGCAAGACUUUGGUCGAGCAGUCAAAGAGAGCCUCUGCUUGCAAGCCCUCGCUGAAGGAUGAGUCCGCGUACCAUUAGCUAGUUGGCAGGGUAAUGGCCUACCAAGGCGACGAUGGUUAGCUGGUCUGAGAGGAUGAUCAGCCACACUGGAACUGAGACACGGUCCAGACUCCUACGGGAGGCAGCAGUGAGGAAUCUUGCGCAAUGGGGGAAACCCUGACGCAGCAACGCCGCGUGAGUGAGGAAGGCCUUCGGGUCGUAAAGCUCUGUCAGUUGGGAAGAAAUGCCUGAGAGUUAAUACCUUUCAGGUUUGACGGUACCAACAGAGGAAGCACCGGCUAACUCCGUGCCAGCAGCCGCGGUAAUACGGGGGGUGCAAGCGUUGUUCGGAAUUAUUGGGCGUAAAGAGCGUGUAGGCGGCCGGAUGUGUCAGAUGUGAAAGCCCUGGGCUUAACCCAGGAAGUGCAUUUGAAACUGUCCGGCUUGAGUAUGGGAGAGG